rnacentral:rRNA from 1 species
UACGUAGGGGGCUAGCGUUGUCCGGAUUUAUUGGGCGUAAAGAGCGUGUAGGCGGCCAGGUAGGUCUGGUGUGAAAACUCGAGGCUUAACCUCGAGAUGUCAUCGGAAACCAUCUGGCUAGAGUCCGGAAGAGGAGAGUGGAAUUCCUGGUGUAGCGGUGAAAUGCGCAGAUAUCAGGAAGAACACCAGUGGCGAAGGCGGCCAACUGGCCCGAUACUGACGCUCAUGUGCGAAAGCGUGGGGAGCAAACAGG